rnacentral:rRNA from 1 species
CGCUGCCUACGGGGCGCAGCAGUGGGGAAUAUUGGGCAAUGGGCGCAAGCCUGACCCAGCAACGCCGCGUGAAGGAAGAAGGCUUUCGGGUUGUAAACUUCUUUUAUGAGGGACGAAACAAAUGACGGUACCUCAUGAAUAAGCCGCGGCUAACUACGUGCCAGCAGCCGCGGUAAUACGUAGGUGGCAAGCGUUAUCCGGAUUUACUGGGUGUAAAGGGCGUGUAGGCGGGACUGCAAGUCAGAUGUGAAAAUUAUUGGCUCAACCCAUAACCUGCAUUUGAAACUGUAGUUCUUGAGUGAUGG